rnacentral:misc_RNA from 1 species
UGAGUGGAACCACGAACGAAUUGGAAAUGCUCGUCUGGUCCGUCACAUUCUGGCCGAAUACGCCGGUGGAAUACCGAUUGGCGACGGUGCCGAGUGUGGGCGAUGCGUCCACCACCCAGUAGCCUUCCUGUUGCUGCUCGGGCAGGAAGUCGAGGCCUACCUGUGUUUCGGACUGAUAGCGUGUGCGGGCGCGGGCCACGAGUCUCGCGUCGCGCGCGAGCUCGAACGCCUGCUCGGCGCCAAGCGACAACGUCCAUUCAGGCGCAUACGGCGCCCGACGCCCCGCGCAAUCCACGGAGAAUCCGCUCGGUAUCGAUGCCACGGCGCAUCCCGUGACGGGACUUCCUGCGAUCGUCGGCGUCAUGUAGGCGUACGAAUCGUACUUCGCGUCGAGAUACUGAAGAUUCGCCGAGAGUUGCGUUACCGCGGAGUGCUUGUACAGCAGGUCGGUCUCCACGCCCCGAAUCGUCGCCUGGCCGAUGUUCUCGGUUCGCAGGUUCGGAAUCCCGCGCGAGUCCAGCGCGAUCUUCGAGACUUGCUGGUCCUGGUAGCUCCAGUCGAACAGCUCCAUGCUUCCCUGCAGGCGGUUCGACAGUCGACUCUUCACGCCGAGUGUGAGGGCGCCAACAUACUCCGGCUGGUAGACCUGGGAGUCGACGGAGAAGAAGAAGCCUCCGGACUUGAAGCCAGUCUCGUAACUCGCGUAGAGAAACGUGCGCUCGGUCAGGUCGUAGUCCAGUGCGGCUCGCCACGUCGGAUGCGAGAAGGUCGCCGCCGUGUCGGCAAGGAUCCGGAACCCCGUCGUUAUCGUGCCGUUGACAGCGUCGAUCUUCGGAACCGCCGUCGUUGACCCGGGAAGAAAGGUGAGUGGCGCAGUUGCGAUGUUUUCCGGGAAGGGCGGCGCGUUCGGACACGAUGCCUGGCGGCACAUCACGCUGAAGCUCUCGAACGUUCCCUGGAAGUCCUUGUCCUCGUGCGUGAAGCGCGCGCCCAGCGUGGCGCGCAACUUGUCGGUUGCGUAGAAGGUCACACGACCGAAUGGCGCAAUACUGGUGGUGGACGACUUUGGGCGCUGGAGCGAAAAGUUGAAUUGGUUGUACGGUCGCGAGUACAUGUCGACAGCUUCAUUGAAGUAGAACGCUCCCAGCAGCGUGCGCACGCGCGUGUGGGGCGUGGAAGCCAGACGCGCCUCGACACUGCCUUGACGACUGUGCUCCUCGAAUGUGUAGAGGUUCCCCACCGCGCUGCCGGUCGAGUUGAUGUCGCUGGACCGGUAGGCAGGCACCAGCGUGAGCUCACCGAGCUUCGUGCGCCAAUCCACGGUGGCGUUCACACCCCGGUGCUGGUUGUCGUUGCGCUGGAGCGCUGACAUCGGGAGCCAAUUGCGCCCCGCGAUGGCAACACGUUGGGUUUCGUAGUACGCGCCACCUUCGGGCGAGGCCGCGCCGACGCGUCCGUCCAGGGGAAGGGCCAGCGGUGUUGCGCCGGCCCCGUGACCGCGUUGAUCGUAGUAGUCGCCGCCGACACGAACAGAGAAUGCAUCGGUGGGAUUGAGACGAAGCGACGCUCGCGUGGACCAAUCGUCCUGAUCGUCGGUGCCGUCCUUCAUGUAUGCGUCAUGCUGCAGGCGCUGAGCGGCCACGCGUACCGCUGCCUUGUCGCCAAGCGGCGCAUUGAACCACCCUUCAGCGCUGCGGUUGCCGUACUCGCCGAGGCCUGCGGCCACUUCGCCGGCGAGCGUAUUCAGCUGGGGGAGUCGGGGCAGGAUGCUCACCGCGCCACCCGUCGCGUUGCGACCGUACAACGUGCCUUGCGGUCCCUUGAGGACCUCGACUCUCUCGAGGUCGUAGUACAGGCCACCCACCGACGUCGGGCGGGCGAUGUACACGCCAUCGAAAUUGAAUGUCACCGUCGGAUCCUGCAGCGAUGAACCGG